AACGAACGCUGGCGGCAUGCCUAACACAUGCAAGUCGAACGAAGGCUUCGGCCUUAGUGGCGCACGGGUGCGUAACGCGUGGGAAUCUGCCCUUUGGUUCGGAAUAACAGCUGGAAACGGCUGCUAAUACCGGAUGAUGACUAACGUCCAAAGAUUUAUCGCCAGAGGAUGAGCCCGCGUUGGAUUAGGUAGUUGGUUGGGUAAAGGCCUACCAAGCCGACGAUCCAUAGCUGGUCUGAGAGGAUGAUCAGCCACACUGGCACUGAGACACGGCCCAGACUCCUACGGGAGGCAGCAGUGGGGGAUAUUGGACGAUGGGCGCAAGCCUGAGGCAGCACUGCCGGGUGAGUAAUGAAGGUCCGAGGGUUGUAAAGCGCUUUUAACCGGGAAGAUAAUGACUGUACCGGGAGAAUAAGCCCCGGCUAACUCCGUG
rnacentral:rRNA from 1 species